AAACUCUGGAGAACUCUUAAAUGAGUGCCGAAGGUGCAAGGCUCGCAAGGGCUGAAUCUCUCAGGCAAACGGACAGAGGCGA
rnacentral:ncRNA from 1 species